CAAUAGAGGUGCGAAUGACAGGGUACCCGUCCGAUCGGCUCGGCAGCCGGCGGUUUCGUGCGGGAAAGGGGUCGUUCGCCGAAGAGAUCGGAUGCGCCGGAUCCGGUUUCUGGCAUCGCCGUGCAAGCGGCUGUGCUGUCAUGUUCAAAGAGCAUGGAGCGCUAUUGGU
rnacentral:ncRNA from 1 species